AGUUAAAAAGCUCGUAGUUGGACUUCUGGCAUGCUGCGCCUGGCCCGCCCGCGUUAGCGGUGUGAGUGCCGGUUUGCGCGGUUGCCAUCCUUCAGAAAAUCCGGCCUGCCUUUUGUUAGGUUGGGUCGGCGAUUCUGAUCGUUUACUUUGAAAAAAUUAGAGUGUUUAAAGCAGGCAAUUGCUGUGAAUACAUUAGCAUGGAAUAAUAAUAUAGGACUUUGGUUCUAUUUUGUUGGUUUCUAGGACUAAAGUAAUGAUUGAUAGGGAUAGUUGGGGGUGCUAGUAUUGAGUGGCCAGAGGUGAAAUUUUCGGACUCACUCAAGACUAACUUAUGCGAAAGCAUUCACCAAGGAUGUCUUCUUUAAUCAAGAACGAAAGUUGGGGGAUCGAAGAGGAUCAGAUACCCUCGUAGUCUCAACCAUAAACUAUGCCGACUAGGGAUGAGUGAACGUUGCUUUUUCGACUUCAUUCGCACCUUAUGAGAAAUCAAAGUCUUUGGGUUCCGGGGGGAGUAUGGUCGCAAGGCUGAAACUUAAAGGAAUUGACGGAAGGGCACCACCAGGAGUGGAGCCUGCGGCUUAAUUUGACUCAACACGGGGAAACUUACCAGGUCCAGACAUAGUUAGGAUUGACAGAUUGAAGAUCUUUCUUGAUUCUAUGGGUGGUGGUGCAUGGCC
rnacentral:rRNA from 1 species